rnacentral:rRNA from 1 species
AUUGAACGCUGGCGGCAUGCUUUACACAUGCAAGUCGAACGAGUGGCGAACGGGUGAGUAACGCAUCGGAAAGUCCCGAGUAAUGGGGGAUAACUGUCCGAAAGGACAGCUAAUACCGCAUAUUAUUCGAGCGGCCGAUGUCGGAUUAGCUGGUUGGGGGGGUAAAGGCACACCAAGGCGACGAUCAGUCGCGGGUCUGAGAGGAUGAUCGGCCACACUGGGACUGAGACACGGUCCAGACUCCUACGGGAGGCAGCAGUGGGGAAGUUUGGACAAUGGGCGCAAGCCUGAUCCAGCCAUGCCGCGUGUAUGAAGAAGGCCUUCGGGUUGUAAAGGACUUUUGUCAGGGAAGCGGUACCUGAAGAAUAAGCACCGGCUAACUACGUGCCAGCAGCCGCGGUAAUUC